rnacentral:misc_RNA from 1 species
UGAAAAUUCCACCACACCCAAAAAUCAGAUCUCUGCAGAUUCAUUAUACAACCCAACUCGGCAAAUGCAUCCCCAACUUCCUCGAGUUCAGGGGCAGUUUCCUCUUCCUGCAGCGAUGCAAUUUCAGGCUGAGAAGAAUAACGUUCCAUUUCAGGCAUUUAUGCAGCCACCUGUUCAUGUAGGAAACGAUGGACAGUUUCAAAACAGACCUAUGGUCUUCCCUCAAUUUGUAGCAGCUGACUUGUCUAGGCUUCAGAUGCAAUCCCCAUGGCGAGGGUUAAGUCCACAUUCUCAUCCGAAGCAAAAACAAGAGACACUUCCUCCUGACUUGAAUAUUGGUUUCCAGUCUCCAGGAUCUCCAGUGAAACAGUCUUCAGGUGUCAUGGUUGACUCGCAGCAGCCGGACUUGGCAUUGCAACUCUGAGCAUGGAUGGGCUUUUUAGAGGAUUUGGUGAAUCCCAAAGAUUGCUUAUGCUGAGGUGAUAUUGGUUACGUACUCGAG